rnacentral:tRNA from 1 species
GCUUGCGGCUGGAUCCCCUCCUUUCUAGGGUGACAUGGAGCAGCUCUUCGGGGCCGCUCCCACACUCAGGUCAAUACCAGCUCGAGUCGCGGGCGGGCUUCGCCCGACCUCGCACUCAGAGGGUCUGAAUCCCGGGUUCUCCCGGUGACUCGUUCGAUCGGGGGGCUCUCGGCUGGUACUGCAGCUCUGCUGCAGCGAGACAAGAAGGAGCGCGGAUCGAAGCGCCACUUCAGGGGCCGCACGCUAUUCAGUUUCUGGAGACCGAGACGCUAUCGGAGCUCGCGGGCUCUGCGGGCUGAACGCAUCCAGGGCCUGUAGCUCAGUUGGUUAGAGCGUCCGCCUGAUAAGCGGGAGGUCGGUAGUUCAAAUCUACCCAGGCCCACCACUCCAUCUGGCGGAGUCUCACUCGGGCCAUCCGCAGUGGGGCUGUAGCUCAGCUGGGAGAGCGCGGGCUUUGCAAGCCUGAGGUCGUCGGUUCGAUCCCGAUCAGCUCCACCACGCCGACCCGUUCACUCCGGCAGCGGGGUGUCAGCGGUGGCCGGGGUGGCCACGAUCGGGCAUCGGCGACGAACCGCGACGGCGGCUCUCGAGGUCUCUCGUUUUUCAGGGAUUCCGGACAUCCGGGUUCCUGGUCUCGACCAAGCGCCCAUCCGGGCGGCCGGCUCGACACAGGCCGGUGCGUCGCUGCAGAAUGCAGCGGCGACUCGAGUUCUUUGACAAUCGAAUCGUUUGUAUUUUUCUCUCGGGUCCAAAGCGUUGAGUGCGCUUCGGCAUACGAAAUAUGUACGAGUGCAGCGUGCGGUUCGCCGCGCGAUGCGCUCCAGGCCUUUGGGUCAGCUACAAAGGGCAGACGGUGGAUGCCUUGGUGCCAGGAGGCGAUGAAGGGCGUGGUUAGCUG